UGACAUAAAUUUCGAUCAUGACAUAAAAUCAUGCAUAGCUUAUGCCGUUGACAUAAAUUUCGUUGCAUAAAAAUAUUUAUGUAUUGUUUUAGCUUAUGACGCGAUUUAAUCAUCAUUACAUAAACUGAAUAGUCAUGAACGAGCCUGUUGACAUAAACUUGGCAUAAGUUGUCAUUUUUCAGCCGCAGGAAGCUCUUGCGAAAAAGGGUCUUCGGCUUUCUAUUUAGACGGGAUAGAGGCCUAUUUUGGUGACCCACACUAACGGUGAGAAGAGGUAAAGAGAGAAAGGGGCACAGCAACUGGAAGGAGAGGGAAGUCCAGACACUCUACCACUGUCUGCGAUUGAAUAAGAAAUUUCUCUUUGGAUCAGGGGGUCAAGCUUCUAGUAUGAAGGUGACCCACACAAACGGUGAGAAGAGGUAAAGAGAGAAAGGGGCACAGCAACUGGAAGGAGAGGGAAGUCCAGACACUCUACCACUGUCUGCGAUUGAAUAAGAAAUUUCUCUUUGGAUCAGGGGGUCAAGCUUCUAGUAUGAAGAUUGUUCAAGAGUCAAGACUGUUGAAGAGGUGACGUCAUGGACCUGGUAGCACCUGGCAAGGGAACUAAAUUACUGUUCACCCUCAAGUAUCCUAAAAACGGUUUAAAAAUUUGAACAUUAACAAAAGUACUAAUUUUCAUUUUUUCAAAGAAAAUAAUCAUUAUAUUGACAUUGUGGAUAUAUUUUAUGAUUAUCAUAAAAUUAUUAUAAUGUUAAUGAUAAUAGGUCAUGAUAAUACAAAUGAACAAUAGGUAGAAAAGAAGACAACCAAGAAGGAGGAAGAGAAGAAGAAAAGAAGAGGGGAGGAAGAGAAGAAGAAAAAGAAGAGGGGUGGAAGAGGAAAAAAGGAGAAGAAUAAAUUACAACACUGUGAGUUCCUCUUCAUGAUAUUACAGAAAUCCUCAUCUCUUUUAAGUGGAAAUAUCUAUGAAUAAUAUGAUAUAUAAUGAUAUGAAAAAUACAUUUUAUUUAAAUCCAUGUUCCACUUUUAAUCAUGUUUAUAAAGUCAUAGGACAGGUGACAAGAUAAAAUUGUUUCACAAAUUUCUAGUGUGUAUUUAUUUGUAAAGUAAUAAAUUUACAUAAAAUGUCAUUCUUUUUGCUUCAUCUCUUUGUUGCU